GAUGAACGCUGACAGAAUGCUUAACACAUGCAAGUCGUAGGCGAAGCUGCGCUUUCGCAGUCUAGCCAAGGCGGACGGGUGAGUAACGCGUAAGGAACUUGCCCUGCAGACAGGGAUAACAGACGGAAACGACUGAUAACACCCGGUAUUGUCAGGCUGGCGCAUGCGGGCCUGAUGAAAGGAGAUGCUGCAUGAGAACCGUGCGACCUAUUAGCGAGUUGGUGGGGUAACUGCCCACCAAGGCGAUGAUGGGAAGCCGGCCUGCGGGGGUGAACGGCCACCAGGGGACUGCGGUGCCGCGCUUCCUCCUCCGGGAGGCAGCAGUGGUGAAUAUUGGACAAUGGGGGCCGCCCUGCUCCAGCAGUUCUGUGUGCACGAAGAUGGUUUUCGGAGUGUAAAGUGCUUUCAGCAGCGAAGAAGAUAGUGACGGUACCUGCAGAAGAAGCGCCGGCUAACUACGUG
rnacentral:rRNA from 1 species